rnacentral:rRNA from 1 species
UAGGGAAUCUUCCACAAUGGACGCAAGUCUGAUGGAGCAACGCCGCGUGAGUGAAGAAGGUUUUCGGAUCGUAAAGCUCUGUUGUUGGUGAAGAAGGAUAGAGGCAGUAACUGGUCUUUAUUUGACGGUAAUCAACCAGAAAGUCACGGCUAACUACGUGCCAGCAGCCGCGGUAAUACGUAGGUGGCAAGCGUUGUCCGGAUUUAUUGGGCGUAAAGCGAGCGCAGGCGGAAUGAUAAGUCUGAUGUGAAAGCCCACGGCUCAACCGUGGAACUGCAUCGGAAACUGUCAUUCUUGAGUGCAGAAGAGGAGAGUGGAAUUCCAUGUGUAGCGGUGGAAUGCGUAGAUAUAUGGAAGAACACCAGUGGCGAAGGCGGCUCUUUGGUCUGCAACUGACGCUGAGGCUCGAAAGCAUGGGUAGCGAACAGG